CUCCCUCCAUCCGCCAGGUUGUCAUGGCAUCCCGCUUCCCAUCCCCACCGUCGUCAGCCCUUGCAGACAUUUCCCGUUCCCGCCGGAUGGGCUCCACCGCUCCAGUCGCUGGCGCGAGGGCGCUCCAGGCGCCGGCUCCCGCAGCACCAAAUCCCUGCGCUCCACAUGCUGGGCUCACGGCAUCCCAGCCUGCAUUCGCCCAAAGGAGCACGUGCCGGCGCCCAACCGGGAAUUGCCACCAGCGCCGCCAGCCUCUGGAAAGCAGCUGGAAAACUGCAACUCUGUAAAGAGCAGGAGCGCCACGUGUCCCAAAUCCCACACCGGGCAGGGGAGACGGUGCCCACUCCAUCCUUCCUCGUGCGCUGCUGACCUCUGGACAUCUACCAGGAAUGGGGAGCUUCCCACCGGGUGCUUGCCACCUCCUAAGGUAACCAAAGGUGCUGCAAACCCAGAGCAUCCCUGCCCGAAAUGCUGUGGAAAAGCUGGYGACGACAGCAUGGAAAUUCCCCUUGGAAUUGCCCCCGGUCAAGAGAGGAAGCCAAGCCAGGAGCAGGGCAGGUGGAAACCACUCGGACUCUGUUUCAGGC